UUGUGAAUUGACACUUGUGUG
rnacentral:piRNA from 1 species